rnacentral:lncRNA from 1 species
AAGAGUUAACAGAAUUUGGAGCAGUUGUGCAUAUAUGCGCACGUAAUGAAGAUGAUAUUAAUAAGUGUUUGGAAGAGUGGAAAAAUAAGAUGAUAUUAAUGUAACAGGAUCAGUAUGUGAUAUACUCUCUUGUGACCAACGUGAAAAAUUAAUGGAAAUCGUUUCUUCUAUCUUUCAAGGAAAGCUCAAUAUUCUAGUACGAUCAAUUUAUACUUUUAUUUAUUUAUAUAAUUUAAUCUAAGUUCCCAAAACACUUAUAUAAUUUUUUAUUGUAUUUUUUACAAUAAUUAAUCUAUAUAAUCAAUAUUACCUCUUAGAUAAAUAAUGUUGCAAAAUCCAUGGCGAAGAAAAUAAUAGAUUAUAGUGAUGAAGAUAUAACAAGUACAAUUGGUACCAAUUUUGUGUCUGGUUAUCAUUUGUGUCAACUUGCACAUCCACUUCUGGAACAAUCUGGAUAUGGGAGUGUAGUAUUUAUUUCAUCCAUUGCAGGUUUAAAAGCUAUUCCUGUUGCAU